GAAUCUGGGUGAAAGGUAUAUGAACAUUCUUUGUAGUAUUUUUGCAACUUCUCUGUAAGCCUGAAAUGAUUUCAAAAUUAAAAGUUGGGUUUUUUGUUUUGUUUUGUUUUUAAGGGUAUGAUACAAUCAUUAUUGCUGGAGGAAAAAAUACCAGCAAAGAGCCAGUCCUGCCGGCGAUAGGUGGGUGGGUGCUGCUCGGAGGACUCUGGGUUCCGCAGGAGUGAUGCUCCGGUCACCCUCUGGGGGCCACGGGGAGGAGGUGGUGACGCUGUGAUCCGGAAUUUCAACGAGACAUAUGCAAAUGUCCCAAUGGGCUGUGAAGGAAGUUCAGAGACAGGAGGACGAGGCAACUCAGUGUUUCUAACCCGCAAAGCAGAAGUGAGAAUGGAUGAAGCAAUGACGCCCUAGUCGGAGGAUGGUGACACCAGGCUCUGACCCAGUCUUCCCAGGCUACCCCCCGCAACUGGAAGCCCCCCAAGAUCGGACAGACAUAUUCUUUGAGGAAACACCACCACUCUGGUUUAUUUCAGCUGCAGGUCUGAUCUCCGUAACAGAGCAGACGAGGCUCCUCUCAGCUGAUUUCCAGUCCAGGUUUGGGUGGCUCUUGCCAAACCUUUUAACUCAUAUUCUACAGCGAUAACCCAAGUUAUAAGUAAACUAUUCAAUUAAGCUAUCUAGUUAAUUAAAGAAUUAGUAGUCACUUGUGGAUAAUAUUUCUUUUUCUGGACAGUGAACUGAGUGGGACUGGGCAUAGGAAUGAGUUCCAUUUUUUAUCAGUUUUCCUUGAGGAUAACUA